AUUGAACGCUGGCGGCAGGCCUAACACAUGCAAGUCGAGCGGAUGAAGGGAGCUUGCUCCUGGAUUCAGCGGCGGACGGGUGAGUAAUGCCUAGGAAUCUGCCUGGUAGUGGGGGAUAACGUCCGGAAACGGGCGCUAAUACCGCAUACGUCCUGCGGGAGAAAGUGGGGGAUCUUCGGACCUCACGCUAUCAGAUGAGCCUAGGUCGGAUUAGCUAGUUGGUGGGGUAAAGGCCUACCAAGGCGACGAUCCGUAACUGGUCUGAGAGGAUGAUCAGUCACACUGGAACUGAGACACGGUCCAGGCUCCUACGGGAGGCAGCAGUGGGGAAUAUUGGACAGUGGGCGAAAGCCUGAUCCAGCCAUGCCGCGUGUGUGAAGAAGGUCUUCGGAUUGUAAAGCACUUUAAGUUGGGAGGAAGGGCAGUAAGUUAAUACCUUGCUGUUUUGACGUUACCAACAGAAUAAGCACCGGCUAACUUCGUG
rnacentral:rRNA from 1 species